rnacentral:rRNA from 1 species
UGGGGAAUUUUGGACAAUGGGGGCAACCCUGAUCCAGCAAUGCCGCGUGAGUGAAGAAGGCCUUCGGGUUGUAAAGCUCUUUUGUCAGGGAAGAAACGGUAGUAGCGAAUAACUACUACUAAUGACGGUACCUGAAGAAUAAGCACCGGCUAACUACGUGCCAGCAGCCGCGGUAAUACGUAGGGUGCAAGCGUUAAUCGGAAUUACUGGGCGUAAAGCGUGCGCAGGCGGUUGUGUAAGUCAGAUGUGAAAUCCCCGGGCUCAACCUGGGAAUUGCAUUUGAGACUGCACGGCUAGAGUGUGUCAGAGGGGGGUAGAAUUCCACGUGUAGCAGUGAAAUGCGUAGAUAUGUGGAGGAAUACCGAUGGCGAAGGCAGCCCCCUGGGAUAACACUGACGCUCAUGCACGAAAGCGUGGGGAGCAAACAGGAUUAGAUACCCGGGUAGUCCCUGAGCGGGCUGGCAAGGCGCAU